rnacentral:rRNA from 1 species
CCGAAAUAGCUUUAGGGCUAGCCUCAAGUGAUGAUUAUUGGAGGUAGAGCACUGUUUGGACGAGGGGCCCCUCUCGGGUUACCGAAUUCAGACAAACUCCGAAUGCCAAUUAAUUUAACUUGGGAGUCAGAACAUGGGUGAUAAGGUCCGUGUUCGAAAGGGAAACAGCCCAGACCACCAGCUAAGGUCCCAAAAUAUAUGUUAAGUGGAAAAGGAUGUGGCGUUGCCCAGACAACUAGGAUGUUGGCUUAGAAGCAGCCAUCAUUUAAAGAGUGCGUAAUAGCUCACUAGUCGAGUGACACUGCGCCGAAAAUGUACCGGGGCUAAACAUAUUACCGAAGCUGUGGAUUGUCCUUUGGACAAUGGUAGGAGAGCGUUCUAAGGGCGUUGAAGCAUGAUCGUAAGGACAUGUGGAGCGCUUAGAAGUGAGAAUGCCGGUGUGAGUAGCGAAAGACGGGUGAGAAUCCCGUCCACCGAUUGACUAAGGUUUCCAGAGGAAGGCUCGUCCGCUCUGGGUUAGUCGGGUCCUAAGCUGAGGCCGACAGGCGUAGGCGAUGGAUAACAGGUUGAUAUUCCUGUACCACCUAUAAUCGUUUUAAUCGAUGGGGGGACGCAGUAGGAUAGGCGAAGCGUGCGAUUGGAUUGCACGUCUAAGCAGUAAGGCUGAGUAUUAGGCAAAUCCGGUACUCGUUAAGGCUGAGCUGUGAUGGGGAGAAGACAUUGUGUCUUCGAGUCGUUGAUUUCACACUGCCGAGAAAAGCCUCUAGAUAGAAAAUAGGUGCCCGUACCGCAAACCGACACAGGUAGUCAAGAUGAGAAUUCUAAGGUGAGCGAGCGAACUCUCGUUAAGGAACUCGGCAAAAUGACCCCGUAACUUCGGGAGAAGGGGUGCUCUUUAGGGUUAACGCCCAGAAGAGCCGCAGUGAAUAGGCCCAAGCGACUGUUUAUCAAAAACACAGGUCUCUGCUAAACCGUAAGGUGAUGUAUAGGGGCUGACGCCUGCCCGGUGCUGGAAGGUUAAGAGGAGUGGUUAGCUUCUGCGAAGCUACGAAUCGAAGCCCCAGUAAACGGCGGCCGUAACUAUAACGGUCCUAAGGUAGCGAAAUUCCUUGUCGGGUAAGUUCCGACCCGCACGAAAGGCGUAACGAUUUGGGCACUGUCUCAACGAGAGACUCGGUGAAAUCAUAGUACCUGUGAAGAUGCAGGUUACCCGCGACAGGACGGAAAGACCCCGUGGAGCUUUACUGUAGCCUGAUAUUGAAAUUCGGCACAGCUUGUACAGGAUAGGUAGGAGCCUUUGAAACGUGAGCGCUAGCUUACGUGGAGGCGCUGGUGGGAUACUACCCUAGCUGUGUUGGCUUUCUAACCCGCACCACUUAUCGUGGUGGGAGACAGUGUCAGGCGGGCAGUUUGACUGGGGCGGUCGCCUCCUAAAAGGUAACGGAGGCGCUCAAAGGUUCCCUCAGAAUGGUUGGAAAUCAUUCAUAGAGUGUAAAGGCAUAAGGGAGCUUGACUGCGAGACCUACAAGUCGAGCAGGGUCGAAAGACGGACUUAGUGAUCCGGUGGUUCCGCAUGGAAGGGCCAUCGCUCAACGGAUAAAAGCUACCCCGGGGAUAACAGGCUUAUCUCCCCCAAGAGUUCACAUCGACGGGGAGGUUUGGCACCUCGAUGUCGGCUCAUCGCAUCCUGGGGCUGUAGUCGGUCCCAAGGGUUGGGCUGUUCGCCCAUUAAAGCGGUACGCGAGCUGGGUUCAGAACGUCGUGAGACAGUUCGGUCCCUAUCCGUCGUGGGCGUAGGAAAUUUGAGAGGAGCUGUCCUUAGUACGAGAGGACCGGGAUGGACAUACCUCUGGUGUACCAGUUGUCGUGCCAACGGCAUAGCUGGGUAGCUAUGUGUGGACGGGAUAAGUGCUGAAAGCAUCUAAGCAUGAAGCCCCCCUCAAGAUGAGAUUUCCCAACUUCGGUUAUAAGAUCCCUCAAAGAUGAUGAGGUUAAUAGGUUCGAGGUGGAAGCAUGGUGACAUGUGGAGCUGACGAAUACUAAUCGAUCGAAGACUUAAUCAA